rnacentral:rRNA from 1 species
CCUACGGGGGGCAGCAGUGGGGAAUAUUGGGCAAUGGGCGCAAGCCUGACCCAGCAACGCCGCGUGAAGGAAGAAGGCUUUCGGGUUGUAAACUUCUUUUCUGAGGGACGAAGAAAGUGACGGUACCUCAGGAAUAAGCCACGGCUAACUACGGGCAAGCAGCCGCGGUAAUACGUAGGUGGCAAGCGUUAUCCGGAUUUACUGGGUGUAAAGGGGGGGUAGGCGGGAAAGCAAGUCAGAUGUGAAAACUCCGGGCUCAACCCUGUGCCUGCAUUUGAAACUGUUUUUCUUGAGUGCUGGAGAGGCAAUCGGAAUUCCGUGUGUAGCGGUGAAAUGCGUAGAUAUACGGAGGAACACCAGUGGCGAAGGCGGAUUGCUGGACAAUAACUGACGCUGAGGCGCGAAAGCGUGGGGAGCAAACAGGAUUAGAUACCCUAGUAGUC